GAAUGUAAUGUCCGAGAAUAUAGUGACGACAUGGUGGAAUGAAAUCUGGAUUUCCAAAUUCUGCUUCCAAACAUACCCUAAGAUUCUUAACUGAUACUUUUAUUCCUUACUUACCCUUUUUGCAAUUAAUCAUGACUGUUGUAGGUGCCAUUCUUCAACAUAGGGAUCAAUACAAUGGAUACAUUUUCACACGUUGGAGGCAAUUAUGCAGUAGGAAAUCCAGCUUAAUGAACUCCAACAUCAGGUAUAUUUUUCUUUGAAAUUUCAGCCAAUUUUGAGCUUAUCUAAAAUAGUUUUUCGUUUAUUAACCAAAAAAUGUGUUGAAGGGAAAUAUUCAAAGACUAAAAUCUUUUAUAUUUAAUGUUGAAUUAGGUUAUAGUUACCGGUCAAUGUGGGAAACGUAGUGAGAAAAGAGAGAGUUCUGGUAUGGUCUCCCUGUUGUGCCCAUAAGUAAAGGUAAUUUCAGCUCUUUAAAAAAUUUCUUAAUACAUUAUUUAUGCUUUGUUAAAAAUGGUAUUAUCAAUUAUGUCUAUUUGUUUCUUUUUUAAAUUUGUAAUGUUCGUUGUAAAAAGUUGUGACAUUGCUGUAUAGUAACAUUACAUGAAUUUAUAAAUAUGUUCAAAAGAAUUUGGUCAAUUGACAACCACUGCAGCUCAGGUUAAAAUCUAUUUUUUCUUUGGUUCAAGUCAAAAUUUCAGUCCUCAUUCUUAUCAAGCAUUUGAUGUUCAGAAAGUUUGAUUUUUUUUUUUUAAUUUGUUAGUUAAAAUGAUCAUUUUGACCUUUUUAUCCAAUUUGGUAAUUUUAACGGAGUUUUUUUUCGUUAAUUGACCCAUUUAAACAGAAAACAAAAAAAAUAUCUAAUAUGAAACUCUUAAAACAGGAAAUAUAAUUUUUUUGGUCAAAGAAUUCAUUUUCACCAUUUUUAUCAAUUUGCCCAUUUUUGUUCAAUAUACAGGGACCAUAUAUGUUAGUUUUGUUAAAAGGAGCGAAAAUGACUCUCAAUUGGUGUUUGAUUUGGUUAUACAUAAAGUCAAGCUGCCAUUUUGUAAUCUAAAUAAAAUUGAUCUAGAUUUUUUUAUUUUUUUAAUAUAAAUUCAUUAAAUGGAAUCUUUUAAUUUUCUCAAGUUUUUAGUUUUCUUUUUUAAAUCGAUGCAAACUAUAGUGCUAUAAAACAUACUUUCAUGCUAUUAGGAAUACAAUAAAAUUUAAUUAGCUACUUCAUAGUUUAUUCUCUAAUUUUAUGCAGAUAUUCAGGAAGGAAAAUCAUGAGAGGAGGAUUUCAAAGUGUGUAUUACCGAAUCCCAGAUUCUUUCAUAAAUGAGCCUUGUGGAAACCUAAGUUUUUUGGUUUAAAAUCAAAUACAAAGUUUUUUGGGCAAACAGUUCUGUAAACUACCUCUGCAUGCUAUUUUUUAUAGUUAGAAAUUUAUGAUUCUAACAACAUCAGACCAAAAUGCUCCAGCAUAUUGUUUUUAUAAUUAAAAAAAAAUGAUUUUAAUAUUUUUUGACCAAACUGCCCCUUCAUGCUAUUUUUAUAUUUAAAAAGUUUGACCGGUCGAAUGUUUAUUUAUGUUAGUGUUUUAUUUCUUCCCAAUUUAUGCAAGAAUGAUUCACAUUUUUACCAUUUAUGCAACAAUGUUGUGCUUUUUUGUUUACCAAUUUAUGCAAUAUUCACGGUUUUGGUCUUAUAAUGAAAUGUAGGUGGAAAUCAUAUGUAGGAAACUAUUUUGUUGCAUAAACUGAUAAAUUGGAAAGUACAAUGCUAUAAAUGGUGAAUAAAUACAGUUUUAGCAUCCAAUUCAGGGUGGAAAAGAAACUAUUGUUCGUUCCUAGGAUGUCGUAACCGGAACUGGAACCGCUUUAUGUGAAGUAAAAUCCAUUUAUUUUUAUACAUUUUCAGAUUCUUGAUUCGUGUGUAAUAGUAACACUCAUUUUUUUUUUAAAUGUCAGCAUAUGGAGGAAUUCAUGAUUCAAGGAGACAAUGAAGGACUUAAGUUGCAUAAAAACAACCAUUAGUCAGGCUGCAAAAGUUGUUAUUAGAAUGGAUGUUCCUAUAUCUAAAUGUGGCGAAGUUUGUAAAUAACAAUGGGUAUAUACGUAUUUUGAUUGGAUGACAUUUACAAUGAACAAACAACGGAAAACAAUUGUCCCCAUCUAGUUCUAUUUAACACAUUAAUUAUAUAAAAGGACGUGCAACAAGCAUUUUGAGUCGACAUAAUCUGACCCGUAACAACACUUAUUCAACCGCUCUCAGCUUUUUCCAUCUAAACAUGAAAAGCUUUGUUAACACAACAUUAGGGUUAUACCUGCUUACUAGCCUGCCAAAAGAAGUGAACGUUAUCCAUUCUUGGUCAAUAACUUGGUUAGAUGUAGUAACUGCUUCCUAUCUUUUCAUAUGAUCAUAUGUCAAAAUUUUAAUUUUAAAUGAUGUAAGAAAUAACAAGGACCACAUAUGAUACAAUAAUACCUUUGAUAUUUCUUUUAAUGGUAUAGUUUAGCUUUUUUCGUUGCCUUUAACAAGCCAAAGGCCCAAAAGAUACAAUCUAUGAGUUUGAUGUAUCUUCAUUCUUAUGAUUAGUAAUACGAACCUCGUCAAGGUGGCCUAAUGGUGAUCACAUGAACUGCCUGUGUGCCCCACAUGCUUCAACCUUGGAUGGACAAUCAUUAAAAAAAAAGUACCAUGAACCUAUAGAAUGUUGAGUCAUAUUUACAUUUUACACGUAGUACUUAACUGGUUUAAGGUUUUGGUUAGCACCUUCCUUGCUCUCUGUAAUUAAACACUACUUUGAUAUUGACCUUCCCAUUUUGGCCAUGGAACCGGUUGCUCUUAUACCAUUUUUAUGUUUAGGCAUGAAGAUUAAUAUUCUAAAUUAGUUGUGUCUUCAAAUGGAAUUAUCAUUUAUAAUCAUCGGCUUCUGUAUGGUCGUUUCUUUUUUAUGAGUGGCACGCAUGUGAUGCACCAUAAAUACCAUGAAAACCAUGUUAUGCUCAAAGUUCAUCAAAGUUUUGUUGUAAGUUAAAUAUUUAAAACACCCCUCAAACUUGACAAGAUAAAGAUAUAUAGUGGAUGAAAAUCAAUGUCAUCAAUAUUUUGAUGGAUUACAAAUGGGGAAUAUCCUGUAUUUAUUCAACGUUGAAUAGUAAAUUUAACAAUCAACCAUCAUUAACUUCGUCAUUUUCAAAGACUUAGAGAGCAUCCACCAUUGAGCUCUUUUAAGAGCUUAUUGGGUCAAAAUAAGUUUAAAAAAAACUAUUUGAGAGAUUUUUCAUCCCAAAGUUUGUUCGACAUAGCUUGUAAAUUUACAAGCUCAAUCAAUAGAGGUUUUUUCAUAUUUUUAAUACUAUGUUUACUCAUUUCUUUUACAAACUGAUAUUAGUAGAAUUCAUAAAUAAGCUUUGUGAAAAAACUAAUCUGAUUGUGGAAUGUGGAUGUAGUCCAAUUGUGGAUGCUCUUACUAUAGUUGAUACCAAGUAUGAAUUGAACUAGAUCAUAUAUUAAGUUACACCACGUUCAGGCAAUUGAAUGUUUUUGGUCUUUCCCUCUAUGCAUUUGGUAACUAAAUCAUCCAGUUCCCACUAACUUGCUACAUAAUCAUCUUCAACCUCCUUUCACCUUAACUUGCUUCUAACUAGCACAUAAAUGUAGUUAUACUUAUACAUAAUCAUGAUAGUCUACGGAUUCUUUUUAUGCAUGAAUAAGCUAUUUACACAAGGGUUUUAAUCAUUCUAUCAGAUUUGCACCAGGUAAGUAGGUCAAUAAAACACCCUUCACCAUCUCAUAAAAGGGCAUUUUAACCACAUUGGAUUGAUCGCACAAAAGAACAAAAUCUAAAUGAAAACAAUCUUAAUAAUAGUUGGCAGACAAGAGACUGAAUCAUUGAGCGACAUUGAGAGGUGUAAGUUGCAGUAACAACAGUACAAGGUAAAAACUUACCCUUGUGAUAGACAGCAUCGUGAAUCGAUCGCCAGUCCUCAUAAACCCUAAUUUUCCACCAGCAUACGUAGCCACAAUUUCGAAAUCACCAUCAUCGCUUAUGAAUGGAUUAGCCGAAACAAGACCUUUCGACUUGGAUCCUUGAAAAGAGCACUCAGUUGCCAUUGUUUAGGAGUCCCACAUCGGAUGGAGCAUAUGAAAGGGAAGAGGGGUGGUGUGAUAUAAAAAGAGGCGAAGGGGUAACGGAUUAAGCAUCUUUGCGCUUGGGGCAAUGACGCAGCUAAUGAGGUAAUAACCGAGGCGCGUCAAUUGCUGGUUGAAAACUAUUUCCAAACCCCCUCCUUGGCCUUGGGUCUCCCUUGGCCAUCGAGAAUUUCUGGAAGGACUCCCUUUAUCGGCUAAAGUCCUACAAUUCCCAGUAAAAAAAAUUGAUUCUCUUAAUUUCUCCAUAAACACGGCUAAUUAAGUUAUAAUAUUGUGGUAAUAGGUUAAUUCUGCAUAAGAUAAUAAUAUAUUAUAAUAGCAUUAAUAUUGUAAUAUAAGUUCAUUUUUUUAUAUGUACGUUGUGCAUGUAUAUUAUUAUUGAUUGGAUUCAUUCACCAGAUAAAACAAUAAACAUAACUCCUUUGAGCAAUGCUUUAAAAUCUGGUUCGAAUCGGUCAAACCUAAAAAUCGGGACGAGAGCGGUUUAACAAUGAUCGGUUUUAUGUCGGUUUUUAGACCGAACUGAACCAAACUGUUUCUUUUAAAACCAGGUUGAAGUGGUAUAUUGUAUUUGGAUAGUUGGAUUUCACUUACCUGUUACAAAACAAUUUAUUUCCAAAACAUAAUAAAUAGUUUGAUUGAUCAGGUUAUUAUCCAGAGUGUACACAACUUGAAGGCUGAUGCACACCACCACCAUAUGUAGAAUGGUGGUCGAACCGGAAACGGUUAUCAAAACCGGUUCAACUAAAAAUCGGUUUUUAAAACAUUGUCUUUUAGUUGGAGUAUCUCACUUUAUAAUGAUUAUGUAUCUCGAUUAGAACAAAAAUCGGAAUCAACAUUCAAAAACAAAUUUCCAUUUCUAUUGACAGCCUGAUUAAAAAUAGGAUGCGCGUGUUUGAUCUUAAUACCUCAUUUAUAGGCUUUCAAUCAUCAAAUGUUGGAUUAUCAUUCAUGUUUUGUAUGUUCAAGGCCACCUAUUUGAAGUAGUCGUUCUAUUACAUGAGAGAGGCAUGACUUUCAAUAUUUACCUCUUUUUACCCACUUCUAAUGGAAUUGUAGGGUUUAUUGUUGGACGACAAAAACCAUGUCAUCUGCGACAUAAUCGUUUUGUGUAAUAUGUACCCAAUAAUUUUAAAAAUAUUAUUAUAAGUCUCAUAUUGAAUUGUACGUCAUAUGUACUAAAAUAUAUAUUUUUAGUAUUGAUUGUACCUUUUUAAGUUGUUUUUUUAGACUUAGCAAGUUUCUAUUUUUUCUUGAUUCAAGCUUUGUUGUUCUUUUCUAUCUUGUAUUUUUCAAAGAUAAUGAAUCAUAGUAUCUAAGUUUUGGAUCAUUUACCAAACUUUUGUUUUUUGUGCUUAAAAAGUGUCAUUUAACUAAAAUAAUAUGCAGAAAAACAGGUAAAACAUAACAGAUUUGUAAAAUUGAUAAGUUUUCUUGAAAAUUUUAUUUCAUGGCAACUUGGAAAUUUGAUAUCACAGAUAACAAAGGCAAAAGUAGAAAAAGACUUGUAAAGUUCAGAAAACAUAUUUAUGGUAAAAUCCGAUUUUUUUACAAACUUCAGGGCUUUUGUGUCAAAAGCCCUAAAAACCGUGCUAUUAUUAUAGUGAUAAAGAAAUUGUAACCAAGUCCACAUAAUCGACCUACGACAACAAUUAUUCGACCCAUUACAUGACUUGAGUCCUCAUGUAAGCUUUUCUCCAGCUAAAAUGUGAGAAAUUGGCUUUGGUAACACAAUAUUAUAGUUGCAACCUUCAUUUUACAUUGAUCCAAAGUAGAGUGCCUUUUUGGGGAGCCAAUCCGAUCAUGCUCACUCACUUCCCGACCAGCCUGCCAAUACAUAAAGGUGUGCAUUGGGUCUAGGCUAACCGAUAUGGGCCCGACCCAAAACUAUUUAUAAAAAUCCCAGUCCUCAUUAUAAAUUUUUUGACUAGGACAAUCGAUUAUGCGAGUUUAGAAAGAAAUUGGUUAUUCAAAACCGGUUAAAAUAAUUAAGAAGCCAUUUAGUGUUUUAAUAUUUUACUAAAAGAGUUUUAAAAAUCAAGCCAUAUAAUUUGUUAGGAAGACCAACUUAUAUUGGUUAAGGAUAAUUGGAAUUAGGCUUGGUUAAGGCAUGAGACCGGCUACAUAAGACUUGGUUAAAGUUUUUCGGAUUGGACUUAAGACCUGUUAUAACCGGUUAAAGGCACGGCUGGGCACACUUUUUGUUCACCUUUAGCAACAUAUCACGUGAAAGUUAUCCAUUUUUUGUCUACUGACUUUGACCUUGGUUGGAUGUAGUGCUUGUUGCUUAUAUUUUCAAGAUAGCAUGUCACGUUUUGUUUUUGUUUUUCAAUGACGUGAGCAAACAUAAAAAAGGGCAACUUGAGAUGCAAUGACAUCUUUCAUAUUCUUUUAGGUAGUGUUUGCUAUAUGAGACUUGAUUGGACAAGACUAAACAGAUAGAAACUAGACUCAUUGUUUAUGUAGUGUUUGGUACUUAGAACUUGAUAUAUGAAGAAGUUAAAAUUACCGGAUUGUCUUUUAUAUGAAAUAAUACAAAAUAAUCAAAAUCAUUGCAAAAUUAACAUAUUUUUCACACAAAUUAAUUAAAAAUCAAAAGAUUCAAACACUCCAAUAAAAAGAAAAAACUGCACAAAUGGUCCCUGUGGUUUGCUCAAAAUUGUCACUUUGGUCCAAAAAGGUUUGGACUAAUCCAAAGUUUUCAUUUUAUUGCUUGUUUAGUCAAAUAUGUUUUGAUUCUUUUCAAAAUAACGAAUUUGCCCUGUUAAUAUGAUUUUCUUUUUUCUUAUUUGUUUUUCUGAUUUUAUAUUUAAUAAAAUAAAAAUAAAUCACACACACUCUCUCUCUCUUAUUUGUUUUUAUUUUUGUGAUUUAGAUUUAAAAAAAUAAAAUAUCACACACACACACACGUCAUGCCAAGUUUAACCAAAGCCUUAAAGCGAUACGGUGUAUGAUACACACAUAGAUUGAUCCAUAUUCAACAUCAUCCAUCUUCAACCUUCAACAAACCUAGGGGUGUUCAUUUGGAUGGAUCGGUUUGAUCCGAUCCAAUCAAGUGAAUCCAAUUUGAUUUCGGUUUUCAAAACAUGGAUCCGAAUAGUCCAAUCUAAAUUCAAAUCCGAUCCGAUCCGAUCCAAUUACAAUUCGGUUGGAUCGGUUUUUAUAAUUCGGUUUUCAAAAAACGAAACAUUUUAAAACGAUAUAUAAUUAUAAUAUUACCCAACUUUACAAAAGAACCAAAAACAAAUUAUUUAGUUGCAUUUUGAAAUUUUUAAAAAACUACUAAGAAGAUAUAUUAUAGUUAAAUAUUUUAUACAUAGAAAACUUUUGAGAGAAAAUACAUAUUAAUGUUUUUUUUGUAUCGAGUGUAACGUUUUGAACCUAUUUGAAAAAAUAAGUUACCAAAUUAAUAAAUAACUAUGGAUAUAUAUUAUAAAUAGAUAAAUAAUAAAUGUUUAUUCGGUUUUUUUGGAUUAUUCGGUUCUUAUUUUAUAAACCAAAAUCAAUCCGAAAUCCAAAAUAAUAAUUCGGUUUUGUUAAAAACCAAUCCAAGAAUCCGAAAAUCCGAACCAAAUAGUCCAAUCCAAAUUGUCCAAUUGGAUAAUUCGGUUUUAUCCGAACAGUGAACAGUCCUAAACAAACCUCAUCACCAAAAUCACCUUUAAUCUCAUUCCACCUCACCAUAACUUCAACGCCUCCACCAGAAAUUUCCAGUUGUCAAGAGCCGCUUAGAUUCCACACCCACCUAUCAACGUCGAUUACCUCGAAACAAAAUUUAGCGGCCAUGGCACUUCCUUCACAAACCUCAGAGAAAGUUCACGAUAAGCAAAAUGAAGGGAUUUCAUGGUCUCCCACUAUCUGGAAUCUUUGCAGUGUUGGAGGAAGUCCAGACAAUUCAGGUGAAUACUCAAUUCACGAUAUCUAUUUUCCGUUCCUCUGUAUGAAUGAAUUGAAAUUGCCCUAAUGUUCUUAGGCAGAACUGAUUAGUAGCAUAAAAUUGAAAUCAAACACAUUGUAACUUUGAAAGAAGAUGCUAUAAGCUUAGAGAUUGUGAUUACGAAUUUCAGAUCUUCAUCACUCCGACUAACAGGAUGGAUAAUCGGUCACUUAGCUGUGAGCACACUGGAAGCAUCAUACGCCAUCCGACUCGAGAGAGCAAAUUACUUCGUUAAGCCACAAAUUUUCUCAAAAUCCAUCAUUAUUCCUCCUGAUAUCCACAAGAAUGAUUCGUGUCAAUUAGGGUUGAAGCGACUACUAUCAGAUUUGGGACUCAAGCCUGAAUCAGGACUUGAAAGAUGAAACAACAAAAAAUAGGGAAGAAGAUGAAGAGAUUGAAGGUGAAGAGGAUGAUAACUACAAGAAUUUAAUUGGGAAACUAAGCUUGAUCUCUCAUUCAAUGAUUUAAGUUGUGAAAUUCCCGAUGAAAUUUGGAGUAUGAAGAUGGAAGCGAUUAAUCUCGAAGGGAGCAUGCUCAACUGGAAUUUAAACUCUAAUUUCAGUGAUUUGGAAAACCUUAGGGUUCUUCAAUGAUUUCCAACGAGAGAGAGAGAGAGAGAGAGAGAGAGAGAGAGAGAGGCAGAGAGGGAGAGAGAGAGAGAGAGAGAGAGAGAGAGAGAGAGAUUUUAUUUUUUUUAAAUCUAAAAUCAGAAAAAUAAAAACAAAUAAGAGAGAGAGAUCUAUUUUUAUUUUUUAUUUUUUUUUAUUUUUUAAAUAUAAAAUCAGAAAAACAAAUAAGAAAAAUAGAAAAUCAUAUUAACAGGGCAAAUCCAUCAUUUUGAAAAAAAUCAAAACAGAUUGGACCAAACAAACAACAAAAUAAAAACUUUAGAUCUCUGGUGCUAAUCCAAAAUUUUUUGGACCAAAGUGACAAUUUUUGAGCAAACUACAGGGACCAUUUGUGCAGUUUUGUCCAAUAAAAAUAAAAAGACCAAAUAGCCUAAUUCUAUUAUCACUUUUGAAGAAAUAGUCCAAAAUUAGCCAAAUUUCCAAAAUAGCCAUUGAUUUCGAUUUUGACACUAUGUUAUUUUUUUUACAAUUUAGUCAUUAUGUUUUCUAAUUUUUGCAAUGUUGACCACUUAACUGGUUAACUCAGAGUUACCCCGAUGAUGUGACAUACUAACAUUUCAGUUUUUGGUGAUGUGGCCUGCUGAUGACGACGUUGUUUGGUUAUGUGAUGUUAACAUGGCAUGAUGAGGUAUCAAAAUUUAAAAAGGGACCAAAAGACACUAAGUUUUGUUUUGUUUUUUUUUUUCAAUUUCGACACUCCAUUUUUUUUAUUCCAAACCGAACAUCAUUCUUUCCAAUUAAAUUCAAUCGGCUGCCCUCUAAUCAUCUCAAAAUGAUCACAACAUCAUAACCCAUGAAAACACAAUCAAUAUCAUAACUCUUGGGAUCAAUGAUAUCUUGCAUGGUGAAGUGUGAAGAUGGUGGCAAAAUCCAUGUUCGUGAGCCUUCAGGUUGUGUUGGUUUAGUAGGAGAUCAAGAUAUUCUUAAAUCCGAGAUAACUUGUGAUGAUAAUUUAUCGUUUAAUGAAAGUGUUGAUAACAAACAUACAUAUGAUCAUGAUGGCCAUAUCAAUCAACAAGAUCAAGCCAACGAGACCUUUAAUAUAGUUAUCGAACACCUUGAUCAUCAUAUAGUUGAUCAAGAACAUCAAGAACCAGAAAAUGAACAAGUGGCUCAAGAGGUAGAUGUUGGAUCAGUAGAUGAAAUUGAGAAGCUAAAGAUGAAGAUGUUGAAGAAACCAAAAUGGAAGAACCAGAACAUGUUGAAGCCGAACCAGAAGAUGAAGGACAUGAAUGAACCGAACCAGAAAGCGAAGAAACCAAACCAUGAAGAAACGAAACCAUAUGCACAUGAAGAAACCCAUACAGAAGAGGCAGAACAUGAAGAAACAAAAACAGUUGAGCUAGAAAUCAAAGAGGAUGAUGUAUAGGUACCGGAAAAUGAAGAUUCGACAUCAAAAGUGGUGAUCAAGAACCAAAAAGUUUAUUGAUAUGUGUUUAAAUGGAAAAUGAUCAACACCGAAUAAAAUUGAAAAAAAAUAAUAAUGUUCGAUUUGGAACAAGAAAAAAUGAAAUGUCAAAAUUGAGAAAAAAAAAUGAAAACUUAAUGUCUUUUAUGCCACCUUUUUUUUUUUUUUUUAAUUUUGACCUGUCAUCAAGUCAUGUCAACGCCACAUAAUCAAACAUUGUCAUGUCAGUAUACCACAUCACCAAAGACUAACAAGUCAGAAUGUCACGUCAACGGGUAAGUGGGUUGACCGGUUAAAUAGUCAACAUUGCAAAAAUUAGAAAGCUUAGUAAUUACAUUGAAACAAAACAUAACAGUGUCAAAAUUGAUUUUUGCAAAUACAUACUGACUUUUGUGCAAUUUACCUAGUUUAAACCUGGGAAUUUAAAAAAAAAAAUUGUGAACUUUUUUGUUGUUAAAAUCUUAAAAGAACAUAUCCACAACAAAAUGGAGCUUUAAAUUGAAUAAUCAGAAACUGAGAUAUUCAAGUUCUUAAUUAAGAAUAACUUGGUAAUUUAAUACAUAUGUUACAUUUGUUAACAUUGUUUAUUGCGAUUUUAUUCAAUUUUCUUGCGUAUUCAAACCAGGUCCUAUCAUAUGUAUAAUUCUCUAUAUUUCAUUAUUUUGAAUGAUUUUGGAUCAUCUUCUCUCCUAACUCUUAUUUUUCUUGUGUUUGACCAAUAGUCAAACUAUUUAUAACAGGGAAAUCUUCAGGAAAAGUCCCAUUAUUUUGGAAAAAGUUACAUUUAAGUCCUAAUAUUUUUUUUUGAACAAAAAAACCCAAGAAACCGGAUAAACCUUUAAUCCUUUUUGACCUGUUGAGCAGGUCACCUAUGCCACAUGGCAUGCCAGCUGUACAAGGGUUGAUGUGGAUGCUGAUGUGUGGCAUAGGUGACCUGCUGAACAUGUCAAAAAGGAUUAAAGUGUAAGGUUUAUCCAGUUUCUUGGGUUUUUUUGUUAAAAAAAAAAAAUUUAGGACUUAAAUGUAACUUUUUCCAAAAUAAUAGGACUUUUCUGAAGAUUUCCCUUUAUAAAACUAAUGAAGUUUGCCUAGAAUUACAAGGAUUGAAAGUACAAGGCUAUCAUUGGUUAACAUUAUGUGUGACUUUUAUAUUUGCUAAAAAGUUUACAAAAAAUAAUAAUAAUAAUAAUAAAUCACAGAGGAAAGUUAAGGAAGCUAGAGGCCUGUAUUGCUUUCAGGGUUUGAAUCAAAAAGUGGUGAUUGUGGAUGACAAUGGAUGGGUCUAUGCAUUGGUGCUGUUAUCACACUAUUUCUUGUUUUUUUAAAAUUACUUUAUUUCAAUAAGAAAUUCUCAAAUUUGGGUCAAUUAUUCAACAAAGUUGGGAGACAAAAUUCUCUGAUUUGGGGUCCUUUAAAGACAGAAAAGCAUUUCGACCUGAAAUUUGCAAUAAUGCUAUGAUGGAUGAUGCUUAUGGAAACACAAUCAAGGUCUCAAAUAGUAAAUACAACUUGCAGAUUUGUAGAGGGGAUUUCUAAACAACUAUUGUAAAGCAACCAUCUUAACUUAAAAAUUCUUUUGUAAAGGUUAGCAUUCUUAGGAUUUUAUCGUUUCAUUUAAUAUAUGAACUAUUUCUUUUUCUGUAAUUGAAAUGUUAUUUUUAAUCUUUGCAGGUUAUAAAUUCCAAGGAUCUGUCAUUUGUAAGAUAUUCCAUCAUAUGUACAUCAACAUUUACAUACCUUUCCUUUGGCAAGUAAACAAGGUAUGCACUAACUUGCUUCAAAUUCUACUUAAUCACCAACUAAUUUCGAAUACAGAUGGUUUAUUUUUUAAUUCUACGCACAAUUAGCCUAUUUUCAGAAGGGUUUAAUCAUUACACCCGUUUUUGGCAUGUGGAUAAAACCUACACACAGCUACACAGACAAUUAAGGCAAGAAAAUACUUUGCUCCAUCUCAUAAAAGGGCAUUUUUACAACAUUUGGAUGAUUGCACAAAAGAACAAUCUUGAUAACAGUUGGCACACAAGAGAUUAAGUGACUUUGAGAGGUGUAAGUUGCAGAAACUCAUGAUCGUAUAACAACAGUACAUCAUAAAAACUUACUCUGUGAUAGACAGCGUAUCAUCAAUCAACCGAUACUCGUCAUAAACCCUAAUUUCCCACCAAGCGUAGCCACAGAUUAGAAGAAACAACACGUUCGGACGAUAGUUGGAUCCUUGAAAGAACAUGCAGUUGCCAUUGCUGAAUUGUUUAUGGUGGUCAUUAAAGACGCAGGAAGAAAAAGUAAGAUUUAGGAACGUCCCACAUCGGAGGGAGCAUAUGAAAGGGAAGAGGGGUGGUGUGAUAUAAAAAGAGGCGAAGGGGUAACGGAUUAAGCAUCUUUGCGCUUGGGGCAAUGACGCAGCUAAUGAGGUAAUAACCGAGGCGCGUCAAUUGCUGGUUGAAAACUAUUUCCAAACCCCCUCCUUGGCCUUGGGUCUCCCUUGGCCAUCGAGAAUUUCUGGAAGGGCUCCCUUUAUUGGGUAAGGCCCUACAAUUUCUAGUAUAAAAAUUUUGAUCAUAGCUUUGUAGAAAAAACUGUAUGAAUUAGUCAAAGUCUUUUUACUGUUUUUUUUUUUAUCAAUUUUCAAGGUUUUUCGUAUCAAAAAUGUUUUUUGCGUGACUUGGUAUUAAUUUUUAACGAUAUGUGUUCUAUUGAAAUGUUUUAAAACAAAUUUGAAAAUUUCAACCUGAACAACCUUGUGGGUUACCAUCUUCAGCGAGAAUAUCAUAGACCGAAGAUAAAUCUUGGAUGCUAAAUCAUAUGUUUUGACUUUUUGGUUUAAUCUUUUUCCUUUUAACUAUUGUUUAUUUUAUUUUUCAAGAAUGAAAGUAAAAAAAUGUAACUACUUACAAUGGGGGGAUCUUGACUCUCCUAAAAAGAAGUUCAAUUCCACUAAAACGAGUGAUAUUGAACCAUACAAGGCUGCAAUCAUCAGGAAUCUAGUAAACCAAAUGAGACCUAAAGAGAAGCAACAAAUCAGGUUAAGUAAAUUGAUGUGUAAUGGCAAGUGUAAUAUUUGAAAUGGCUUCAGCUUAAUGAGCCAGAAACAUAUAGUCUUUAUGUAUAGAAAACAUAUUUCAUGUGAUUUUAAAAGCGUAUUAUUAAAUUAAUAAUCAUAUUUACUUGAUAAUGUUUCUCUAGAGCAUGCAAACACACUUAUGGCCACUUCCACCUCUUACCCAUUUUGUAUGUUAUUAAUAUCAAAGACAAAGAAAAAUGUAAAGAAAGCCAAGACUUGUAGUAAAAAAGACGUACAAAUAAUGGUAUAGAGGAUAUAAUAUUUCUAACUCUGUGUUACAAAUUGAACCAACAAAAUACAUACAAUACAUGGCAUAACUUUAUGACUUGAUAAAACAUCCGCUAACAAAGUUUGGUAUAUUAAUAACCUAAUCCCUUCAUAUACUAAACAAAACAAAAUUUUCUCAAUUUCUUCUAGAAUUCCAUCCACAAUCAAACACGUCGUUUUAUGAAAACCAUCGGGCCAUUUCAUGUAUGUAUGCAUGCAUGUUAUGUACAUUCAUCAUAAUGGUUGAAUGUUGUUGGCCUCUUCACUCUUCAGCUUUUUUAGCAAGCUUUGCUAAUUCUUAACUGAAUUCACCAGCUUCAAAUCCAGACGCUUUAACAAAGAUCAGGGAACUCUUGAUACCCUUUCAAAACCUUCAAGAUGUGAAAGCUUUAUUUUAGGAUAAAUUACAGGAAAAUGAUUAUACUUUUGGGCAAUUUUGCGGUUAACCAAUUAUACUUUAUUGUUUUUUCAAACAAACAGUAAAAGUUCCAAAUAUUUUCUCAGUUUAACCAUUUUGACCUGAUAUAACAUGUCAAAAUGUUUAAUUUGGAAAAUUACAUUCACUUGCUACAUAUCAACAGGACAAAAUGAUGCAAAGAUGUUUGAAACUUUUAUGGUUUAAUUCGAAAAAAUAAAGUGUUAGAAGUUAAACAACAAAAUUGCUCAAAAGUAAGUAUUAAGUUGCACCACAUAUAGGCAUAUGAAUGUUCUACGCAUUUGAUAACUAAACAUGAAUAUAUCAUCCAAUUCCCACCACUAAACUUGCUUCGAACUAUCACAUACAUGUAAUUAUACAUAAUCAUCAUAGUCCACUUGUUCAAUUUUAUGCAUGAAUAAGCUAUUAGCAUUUAUAAAAGGGCUUUAAUCAUUCUAAAAGAUUUACACCACGUAAGUAGGUUAAUAAAACACCCUUUACCAUAUUAUAAAAGGGCAUUUUAACCACAUUGGAUUAAUCGCACAAAAGAACAGGAUCUAACUCAAAACAUUCUUAACAACAGUUGAAAGACAAGACAUUGAACGACAUUGAGAGGUGUAAGUUGCAGAAACUCGUGAUGCAACAACAGUAGAAGUUAAAAAUUUACCCUUGUGAGAUAGACAGCAUCUUGAAUCGAUCUCCAGUCGUCAUAAACCCUAAUUUUCCACCCAUAAUACGUAGCCACAAUUUCGAAAAUCACCACCAUCGGUUAUGAAUGCAUUAGCCGAAACAACACCUUUCGACUACAGUUAGAUCCUUGAAAAGGACAUUCAGUUGACAUUGUUUAGUAGUCCCACAUCGGAUGGAGCAUAUGGAUGGAAGAGGGGUUGUGUAAUAUAAAAGAAGGUGAAGGGGGAUUAGAAGAAUUAUCUUUGCGCUUGGGGCAAUGACGCAGCUAAUGAGGUAAUAACCGAGGCGCGUCAAUUGCUGGUUGAAAACUAUUUCCAAACCCCCUCCUUGGCCUUGGGUCUCCCUUGGCCAUCGAGAAUUUCUGGAAGGGCUCCCUUCAUUGGGUAAAGUCCUACAAUUACAAGUAUAAAAUUAUUAUUGGAAGGCAAUAAUUUGUAUGUUGCUUUUAGGUUGCAAUAUCGACAUGAAAACUAAUCCCAUAUUAAAAACAAUUACUAAUUCCAUAUUAAAAACAAGACACUUAAACGCUUUGAAAAAGAAGAGGGUUAUUAGUGAUGUACAAAG
rnacentral:lncRNA from 1 species